GACGAACGCUGGCGGCGUGCUUAACACAUGCAAGUCGAACGAGUGGAGGAGGGGUGAGUAAUGUCUGGGAAACUGCACGAUGUAGGGGGAUAACUACUGGAACAGGUAGCUAAUACCGCAUACCAUCGGUUGUGGCCCGAUGGGUUUAGCUAGUAGGUGGGGUAACGGCUCACCUAGGCGACGAUCCCUAGCUGGUCUGAGAGGAUGACCAGCCACACUGGAACUGAGACACGGUCCAGACGCCUACGGGAGGCAGCAGGGGGGAAUAUUGCACAAUGGGCGAAAGCCUGAUCCAGCCAUGCCGCGUGUGUGAAGAAGGUCUUCGGAUCGUAAAGCACUUUAAGUUGGGAGGCGGUACCAACAGAAUAAGCACCGGCUAACUUCGUGCCAGCAGCCGCGGUAAUUC
rnacentral:rRNA from 1 species